AGGAGAAAGAGGCUUUCAUCAUUUCACAGCUGAAGGCAAAAGGCUUGACUGUGCGUGACGAGCAAGGACGAAGGCGGACUCUGAACAGCGAAGAGAUGGCCGUGUUUUACAAAAGCUUCCUGGA